rnacentral:tRNA from 1 species
CUUCCGUGGCGCAGUUGGCAGCGCGACAGACUGUUAAUCUGGAGGUCGGUGGUUCGAACCCACCCGGGAGAGU